rnacentral:rRNA from 1 species
GUGGGGAAUAUUGGACAAUGGGCGAAAGCCUGAUCCAGCCAUGCCGCGUGAGUGAUGAAGGCCUUAGGGUUGUAAAGCUCUUUCGCCGGUGAAGAUAAUGACGGUAACCGGAAAAGAAGCCCCGGCUAACUUCGUGCCAGCAGCCGCGGUAAUACGAAGGGGGCUAGCGUUGUUCGGAAUUACUGGGCGUAAAGCGCGCGUAGGCGGGUAGAUAAGUUAGAGGUGAAAUCCCAGGGCUCAACCCUGGAACUGCCUUUAAUACUGUCUAUCUGGAGUAUGGAAGAGGUGAGUGGAAUUCCGAGUGUAGAGGUGAAAUUCGUAGAUAUUCGGAGGAACAUCAGUGGCGAAGGCGGCUCACUGGUCCAUUACUGACGCUGAGGUGCGAAAGCGUGGGGAGCAAACAGGAUUAGAAACCCGAGUAGUCC